CACAGCCCAGUGGCCCCAGGGCAGGGAGGGCACCCGCUGAGCUGCUGUUCUGGAAGAUUCCUGAGAUCUGAUUUCCCUGAAGAGGAGAGAAUGGGACUGUCUACACCACAGCAAGUGGUCAGGAUUAAGAGCUUCAUCUGCUUCUUCACGUUUGUGCCUGGGCCUAUGUCCCACUGGGGCUUUGCGGAUCUCGAGCCUGGUCAGUAUUUUCUCUGUGCUCUUCCUGUAACAGCCCUCUCUUCUCUGGGUCUGUUCUCCAAUGUGCAUGAGACAGCCUCAUGUAAAGCUACCUACCACUCCUUUCUCAGCAUGGGGAUCAUCUGUGUUCAGAGCACAGCUGAGACUUCAUAGAAUCUGAGAGCUGUGACACCAAGGCAUGGACAGGGAGGCUGUCCUGACAGGGCUGUGGCUUCUAUCAUACUGGUGUGCACCCCAGGGUGAUGGGGUUGAGCUUGGGGACCAUGGAGGCAGUUGAUGGUGUGGAGGUGGUUGUGCCUUGAGGAAAUCCAUGCUGGUCUGUCUUGAGAGGACAG
rnacentral:lncRNA from 14 species